CAAAACGUAUAAACGUCUAUAAUUAGUUAAUUAAUUGAGCAAAUCCCCAUAUUAAUUUGGCUUGGCUCGGAACCACCUCCACUCUCAUCCGGAUGGGCCCGACCCGUAUUUUUUCGGUGUCGUUAGUCGUUACCCUGUCAAAAAAGCAAGAAUUUAAGACGUGUGAAAAAUACUACACUUUUCAAGUCAUAUAUACAUACAUGUAAGGUUUAGAGGAAGAUCUAUGAGUACCUCACCCUUAUCUAAUAGAUCAACUUCGCCAAAAUGAAUCCUGUUUCCAUUGAGACUGAGGAAGCUCCGUUAUUGGACAGCAAUGGUGAAAUUAAGCAGCAAAUGGACCCAAUUUUUUUCAACGCUGCAGCUGUGGGCAAUUCGGAACCGUUCAAAGACAUGCCAAGAGAGGUAAUUGGGAUCUUGUUUACAGCAAAGACCAAAAACACAAUCCUACAUAUCAACAUCAUAUCCCAAGAAAGAGAAAACGCGUCAACGAAGUUCGCAGAAGAAAUACUUGAGAAAUGCCCAUCGCUGCUACUACAAGUCAAUGCCAAAGGCGAUACUCCACUUCACGUUGCGGCAAAAUUCGGCCAUUCUGAUAUAGUGAGGGUUCUUGUCGAAAGAGCAAAAUUACUUCAACAUGAAAAUGAAGAGCUAGAGAGCGGGAUAAGAACUGCCAGGUAUAUGAUUAGGAUGACAAAUAAUGAGAAGAAUACAGCACUUCACGAGGCAGUGUGUCACCGGAACGUCGAUGUGGUGAAAAUACUGACGAAAGAAGACCCUGAUUAUCCAUAUUCUGCAAAUAAUGACGGCAAAACGCCACUCUACAUGGCUGCUGAUUAUGGGUCUUCUGAUAUGGUGCUUGCCUUAUUGGAAAACAGCACAUCAGCGUCUCAUGAAGGCCCCAACGGAAAGACGGCUUUGCAUGCUGCAGCAAUGAAAUCUUAUUUCGGUAAGUUUAGUUAUACCAUUUCAAUAUUGAUAUCUUUCUAUUAAUAGAUUCUUUCAUAAUGUUUAAGUAAAUACACCCUUUUAAUUCAUUAAUAAAUUAUUAAUUGCCAUAAAUUUAAUCAGGAUAAAUUGUCGGAUAUAAAUUAGUAUUUUAAAAUACUAUAAUAUCCCACAUUAAGGAGAAGUAAGAGCAGUUGAAUUUGGUUUGAAUUAAUUAUUUGGUUGAAUUGCUUACAAAUUAGAAUUGAAUAAUUCAAUUCUAUUUAUGAUUGAAUCAAAUUGUGAGACUCAUGAUGACUAAUUUAAAUUAAAUAAAAAAAGUAGAUAAUAAGUCCAUAUUUGAGUUAGGAAAAAGUUAAACAGUUUUGAUACAUGUGAAGCCUUUAAGGUGGGUUAGAUAGUUCAAUUUUUUUAAUAAUGUUCUUUACCGCUAUCUCAUCUUUCUUCACCAAUUUAUUUUCUUUUACUAUUCUGAAUUGUUGCCCUUGAGUGCAUGUAACCACCUGCCCCGAAUUCCAAAGGUGAAUCUAACUACGGCUGACAUAUAAACUUAGAUAUCUCUUUACAAUCGAUAAAAACUCAAUUCUCAAAAAGAAUUAUUAAACUGCAUCGGAAGAAAUUUAAAAUUUUGUCAAAUCAUCUACUAUCUUCAAUUUCAAUUUUUCUCCUCACUCAUCAUGAAUCAAUCCUUCUUUUCGGGAAUCACAAUAAAUUAUAUUGAACAUAGUAAACAAACUUAUUUUUCAUAUACGAAAUUACAUACUUGGUUAUAUAUAAUGCAAACCAAUAACAUGCCAUGGUAUUUUAAAAAUAUUGUAAAACAAAUUCAUUAAAAUUUCUUUUGCCACAUUCAAACUUCACAUUUCCUUUCAAAUCACGUAUUUCAAUUAUCUUAAUUCAAUUACUACUCAGUAGAACUCUCACUUAACAUUCAUAAUUUUGGUCUUCAUGUAAACGUCCUUCACUCACAUAUCUCUUAAACAUUACAUUUACAGUGUCCACUAAGCGAGUAAUGAAUUCAAGAAACUAACCAAAAUCGAAAAAUUUACUUUCUUUCUUCAAAAUCAAUUUGCUAAAAUUCACUUUCUUAUUUUCUAGAAAACAUGAUGCAUAUUCAUAUUUAUGCCAAUGAACUUUCACACAUACAUAUAUCCAUGCAUAAAUCAUACUUGACACAUAAUAGCACAUCACAUAAAUAUAUGGGCAAAUCAUAUAAAUUAACAUCCGUACAUAUUAAAAUAAGCUUUUCAAACACGUCAAAUAUAUACUUGUUUUUUAUUGUAAUUUACUUAUUUAGGACUUCCUCAAGUAACAAAAGUGUAUUGAUAUUAUCUAUGGGUGGGCACGGUUCGGUUCGGAUCGAAAUUAAGUAGAACCAAUUUAAAUCGGUUAUUUUAUAAAAAGAACCGAAUAAGAACCGAACUCAAACGGAUCUUUUCGGAUCAGUUCGGUUCGGUUCGGUUUUUUCGGUUUUGGGCCUAUUGGGCCUAUUUUGAAAUUUCAAAUUUUUAGCCCAUUGGGCCUCAUGAAUAUAAUAAUUUUUUUCAACAAUUAGUUCAUCCUAAUUUCACUACAAAUAUUAACAAUAAAUACAAAGUAUUCAAAAAUAUUUUAUCACUAAUAUCUUACUAAUUAUUAAUAAGGUACUCACAAAAUAUGAAAUAUUAAAAUUUCAAAAUACAUAACCAAACUCCAAUACUUCAUCUACAUAAACAUAAUCAUAAUGUUGUAAAGACAAAUAAAAAUAACAACAAUUACAACUUACAACACAAAAUAAAAAGAAAAUUUAGAAACAAACGCCAACGACAUUCUCCUAUCUUCACCAAAAAAAAAAAAAAAUUACAAACAAACGCCAACAACAUUCUCCCAUCUUCAUCAAUAUCAACAUCAACUUUAGGCAUUUUCCAACUCAAUAUUUGGAUCUAUAAAAAAAAAUUUAACACAUGUCAAUUUAAAUAAAAUCUAAAAUUAAUUCGAUUUUUUGGUUCGGUUUUUCGGUUCAGCUGAGUGAACCGAAUACCGAACCGACAUUUCGAUUUUUUUUACAAAUGAUAUAUUUCGGUUUUUUUUUUAAAUAAAAACCGAUCCGAAUUAGAAAAAACCACCGGUUCGGUUCGGUGUUUUUAAGACCACGAUUUUUUUGCCCACCCCUAAUAUUAUCGGUCUAAAACUAAUAAGAAAACUCUCAUAAAGAUAUCAUUAUGUCCUUAUUUGUAAGUUACUAAAAUAUCCCAAAAUUUUAAAUUACCAAAUUACCCUUGAAAAUCAUAAAUUACCAAAAUGCCCUCGUCGGUGAACGGUGACCGGAAUUCAAGCGGCGAUGAUCGAAAAAGUCAAAGCAGGAACUUCAGCUCGCUCUGAAUCCAACGGUGGAAGCGGUGUGCUCCAACGCGCAGCCAUGGUGCCGGAUCGAGCUUCGACAGCCGUGAAACUUCAACGGCUGAUCGGCGACAAAUCGGCUACUCUGUUUGAUGGUCAGAAAUUGAAGUAACUGCCAUAAAGAACAAAUCCCCGGUGACGACAUGACCCAUCCGGUAAAAACUCACCGAUUUGAGUCGUCGUCCUCCAUGACUUAACACGGCUUCGUGGGGUGGUCAUAGGCUGUUUUCCGGCAACAACGAUGAUGGGGAAAUGACCGGCGUCGUCUAAGAGUUCGGUUGAUACCCUCCAUCGGCGGAGAUGUGGCCGGAAUCGGAAGCAGCGAUUCAGGUUUAGUGAACAGGUUGACCCGACCCGUUUCUCUCUCCUCUGACCUGAUCGCGCACAUUCUAUCUCUCACUUAAUUCAGUUAAUCCGGUUAAUGACUGAAUAGCUUUAGGAGAAUUAAUUUUCGGAUUAAUGGCAAAAAUACUCUUAAUUUAUGAAGAAAUUAAGCGUUGUUAUGAAGGCAUUAAUUUUUUUACUGUGAAAUCUUCCUAAAAAAAAAAAUUAGUCUUUAGAAUUGUAAAUGUAAUGAAAAUUGGUCUUUUGGAUAACUAAGAUAGGGAAAGUUGGUUUUAGGAUAAUUAGAUUUACCAAAUUAGUCCUUAGAAUAGUGCUUCAAACGUGUCUUAAUGAAUUUUGCAAAAAUUGUUAUUUGAUUAUAUUUGAUUAUAGGCCAAAUAUAGGCCAUUUCUGAAUAUUUACCUAUAUUAAAAGUUUUCAUUAUUAUUUGAUUUAUCUUCUGUAUUCUCAGUUGAUGCUGCAUUACGAAAAUUACUUGAGAAAAAGAAGAAUCUGAUCAAAGAAACAGAUAAAUAUGGGUGGACUCCAAUUCAUUACGCUGUGUAUUAUGGAAAUUACGGGACGGUAAAUUUAUUAUUAGAAACGGAUCAAUCUGCUUCGAAUAUUGCUGACAAAGAUCGAAAGAUGACAGCCCUUCAUUUGGCAGCGGACCGAGGGUAUGUCGGAAUAGUUAAAGCAAUUAUUUCCAAAAAUCUAGAAUGUUACGAGCUGGUCGAUAACAGGGGAUGGAAUUUUCUCCAUUAUGCUAUGGUUAGUUUUUAUGUUGAAGAAUUAGGAAAUCUUCUUGAAAAUAAUCCGUUAGUGAGGAGUCUUAUAAUUGAGGGGGAUGUCAAGGGAAACACUCCUCUUCAUGUGCUGGCUGCUGUACGUCCAGAUGAAUUCGAUGUCCGUAUGAUUAGGAAGAUGCAAGCCAACUUUGACGCUGUCAACAAACAAAAUGUUAGUGUUACAAACAUUUUACUUAAUGGCUAUCCUGAGCUCAAGGUAAUUAUUUUAUUUGUUCUUUCAACUAAAUUAUUAAAAAAAAAUUUAUGCAAUUAAUUAAUAUUCAAAUGUAA
rnacentral:lncRNA from 1 species